GAGUAACUAUGACUCUCUUAAGGU
rnacentral:ncRNA from 11 species